rnacentral:rRNA from 1 species
UACAGAGGUGGCAAGCGUUGUUCGGAAUUACUGGGCGUAAAGGGCGCGUAGGCGGCCAUCUAAGUCAGACGUGAAAUCCCCCGGCUUAACCGGGGAACUGCGCUUGAUACUGGAUGGCUUGAGAUUGGGAGAGGGAUGCGGAAUUCCAGGUGUAGCGGUGAAAUGCGUAGAUAUCUGGAGGAACACCGGUGGCGAAGGCGGCAUCCUGGACCAACACUGACGCUGAGGAGCGAAAGCCAGGGGAGCAAACGGG